CGAGAAGACCCUAUGGAGCUUCAGACACCAAGGUACACCAUGUUAAACACCCCUGCAUAAAGGGUAAGACCAGAUGAGACCUAUCCUAAUGUCUUUGGUUGGGGCGACCAAGG
rnacentral:rRNA from 1 species